GGGGCAGUUUUUUAUCUUUUGAAGCCGAUUACCAUGAACGAUAUAAAAAGCCUUUGGCAGUUUUCAAUUAUGAAGAAGCUGGAGGAAAAUGCAGCCACAGAAGGAUCAAAGAGCUUUCAAGAGGAAUCAUCUGAAAAUGGUAAGCCUUCAGAGUGUCUAUUGUUUUUAGAUGCUUGGGAACAGAGUGCCCAGAAAGGCAAAAGAAAAGAGCAAGAAGACAUGGAUAAAGAUAGGGAGGAAGAUAGCGUCAAGUCAACCGUUCGAAAGAAGCCAAUGCUAAUUUGGACUAAUGAACUGCACGACAGAUUCUUGGAAGCCAUCAGGAUAUUAGGCAUUGAUCGUAAGAGUUUUCAUGCUUGAA
rnacentral:misc_RNA from 1 species